CAAUUUGUUGAGAUGUGAAUGAGAUACAUCUACAUCCUAGCUGCCUACCUAGCCAAAUGAUCUCACUGUAAUUGCAGCUCCAGUACCUAACAAUAACGUAGAAAUGUCUGAAGAACGGUGCCGACCUGAAACGUCAACCAGCAUUUUUCUCCAGAGAGCUGCCUGACCCGCUGAGUUACUCCAGCAUUUUGUGUCUAUCUUCAGAUAUACCAGCAACUGCGGAUCCUUUCUACACAACGUGGAAAAUUGGCCAGAUAUGAAUAUUUUCCAACAAAAAGGUUCUGAUCUAGCUACAAUAGAUGUACUGUACAAGGCAUAUAGAUUUAUAAGGUAUGUAUAUUUUAAUCAUGUUGCAUUUUUUUCAGCAGCUUACCUGCAAUGAGCUGUCCAACUGCCCUUAAAAGUGCAUAUUUUAAUGCUAGGAGCAUUGUAAGAAAGGUGGAUGAGCUUAGAGUCUGGAUAGACACCUGGAAGUAUGAUGUUGUGGCGAUCAGUGAAACGUGGUUGCAGGAGGGCUGUGAUUGGAAACUAAAUAUUCCAGGAUUUCGUUGCUUCAGGUGUGAUAGAAUUGGAGGGGCAAGAGGUGGAGGUGUUGCAUUGCUAGUCAGGGAAGAUAUUACAGCAGUGCUUUGGCAGGAUAGAUUGGAGGGCUCAUCUAGGGAGGCUAUUUGGGUGGAAUUGAGAAGUGGGAAAGGUGUAGCAACACUUAUAGGGGUGUAUUAUAGACCGCCAAACGGGGAACGAGAACUGGAAGAGCAAAUAUGUAAGGAGAUAGCAGAGAUUAGGAGUAAGCACAAGGUAGUGAUUGUGGGAGAUUUCAACUUUCCACACAUAGACUGGGAAACACAUUCUGUAAAUGGGCUGGAUGGGUUGGAGUUUGUAAAAUGUGUGCAGGAUAGUUUUUUGCAGCAAUACAUAGAGGUACCUACUAGAGGAGGGGCAGUGCUGGACCUCCUGUUAGGAAAUGAGACUGGACAGGUGGCGGAGGUAUGCGUUGGGGAGCACUUCGGGUCCAGUGAUCACAAUACCAUUAGUUUCAAUAUAACUAUGGAGAGGGUCAGAACUGGACCUAGGGUUGAGAUUUUUUGAUUGGAGAAAGGCUAACUUUGAUGCGAUGCGAGACGAUUUAAAAGGAGUGAACUGGGACAUUUUGUUUUAUGGGAAAGAUGUAGAAGAGAAAUGGAGGACAUUUAAAGGGGAAAUUUUGAGAGUAUAGAAUCUUUAUUUUCCUGUUCGGUUGAAAGGAAACAGUACAAAUUGGAGAGAGCCCUGGUUUUCAAGGGAAAUUGGACAUCUUGUUCGGAAAAAGAGGGAGAUCUACAAUAAUUAUAGGCAGCAUGAAGUAAAUGAGGUGCUUGAGGAGUAUAAGGAAUGUAAAAAGAAUCUUAAGAAAGAAAUUAGAAAAGCUAAAAGAAGAUAUGAGGUUGCUUUGGCAAGUAAGGUGAAAGUCAAUCCAAAGGGUUUCUACAGCUAUAUUAAUAGCAAAAGGAUAAGGAGGGAUAAAAUUGGUCCAUUGGAGAGACAGAGUGGACAGCUAUCUGCAGAGCCAAAAGAGAUGGGGGAGAUAUUGAACAAUUUUUUUCUUCGGUAUUCACCAAGGAGAAGGAUAUUGAAUUAUGUGAGGUAAGGGAAACUAGUAGAGUAGCUAUGGAUACUAUGAGGUUCAAAGUAAAAGAAGUACUGACACUUUUGAAAAAUAUAAAAGUGGAUAAGUCUCCAGGUCCUGACAGGAUAUUCCCUAGGACAUUGAGGGAAGUUAGUGUAGAAAUAGCCGGGGCUAUGACAGAAAUAUUUCAAAUGUCAUUAGAAACGGGAAUAGUCCCCGAGGAUUGGCGUACUGCGCAUGUUGUUCCAUUGUUUAAAAAGGGUUCUAAGAGUAAACCUAGCAAUUAUAGACCUGUUAGUUUGACUUCAGUGGUGGGCAAAUUAAUGGAAAAGAUACUUAGAGACAAUAUAUAUAAGCAUCUAGAUAAACAGGGUCUGAUUAGGAACAGUCAACAUGGAUUUGUGCCUGGAAGGUCAUGUUUGACUAAUCUUCUUGAUUUUUUGAAGAGGUUACUAGGGAAAUUGACGAGGGUAAAGCAGUGGAUGUUGUCUAUAUGGACUUUAGUAAGGCCUUUGACAAGGUUCCUCAUGGAAGGUUGGUUAAGAAGGUUCAACUGUUGGGUAUAAAUGCAGGAAUAGCAAGAUGGAUUCAACAGUGGCUGAAUGGGAGAAGCCAGAGGGUAAUGGUGGAUGGCUGUUUAUCGGGUUGGAGGCAGGUGACUAGUGGGGUGCCUCAGGGAUCUGUGUUGGGUCCUUUGUUGUUUGUCAUGUACAUCAAUGAUCUGGAUGAAGGUGUGGUAAAUUGGAUUAGUAAGUAUGCAGAUGAUACAAAGAUAGGGGGUGUUGUGGAUAAUGAAGAG